rnacentral:rRNA from 1 species
GACGAACGCUGGCGGCGUGCUUAACACAUGCAAGUCGAACGAUGAAGCCUUCGGGUGGAUUAGUGGCGAACGGGUGAGUAACACGUGGGCAAUCUGCCCUGUACUUUGGGAUAAGCCUUGGAAACGGGUCGUAAUACCGGAUAUCACUUCUGACCGCAUGGUUGGUUGUUGAAAGUUACUGGCGGUACAGGAUGAGCCCGCGGCCUAUCAGCUUGUUGGUGGGGUAAUGGCCUACCAAGGCGACGAC